UGGAGAACUGAGGGGGGCUGCUCCUAGUACGAGAGGACCGGAGUGGACGCAUCACUGGUGUUCGGGUUGUCAUGCCAAUGGCACUGCCCGGUAGCUAAAUGCGGAAAAGAUAAGUGCUGAAAGCAUCUAAGCACGAAACUUGCCCCGAGAUGAGUUCUCCCUGAGACUUUAGGUCUCCUGAAGGAACGUUGAAGACGACGACGUUGAUAGGCCGGGUGUGUAAGCGCAGCGAUGCGUUGAGCUAACCGGUACUAAUGAACCGUGAGGCUUAACCUUACAACGCCGAAG
rnacentral:rRNA from 2 species